rnacentral:lncRNA from 1 species
UCGACACAUCGGUUAACGCAUCCGAAUUCGCCAUGGCAGAGAUUGUGAGCAGACCGGAAGUGUUAAACAAGAUCCGACUAGAACUUGACCAAGUUGUUGGCAAAGACAACAUCGUUGAGGAAUCACAUUUACCUAAGCUUCCUUACCUACAAGCGGUUAUGAAAGAGACUCUUAGGCUUCACCCUACGCUUCCUCUUCUUGUUCCUCACAGAAACAGCGAAACCUCGGUGGUUGCGGGAUACACUGUGCCUAAAGACUCCAAGAUUUUCAUCAACGUUUGGGCGAUUCAUAGAGAUCCUAAGAAUUGGGAUGAACCAAACGAGUUCAAACCUGAGAGGUUUUUGGAGAAUUCGCUUGAUUUCAAUGGAGGUGAUUUUAAGUACUUGCCUUUUGGGUCAGGAAGGAGGAUUUGUGCGGCGAUUAACAUGGCUGAGAGACUUGUUCUGUUCAACAUUGCUUCACUUCUUCACUCUUUUGAUUGGAAAGCACCUCAAGGACAGAAGUUUGAGGUUGAAGAGAAGUUUGGUCUUGUUCUUAAGUUGAAGUCUCCACUUGUGGCUAUUCCUGUUCCAAGGUUGUCCGAUCCAAAACUCUAUACAGCUUAAGUAAGUAAGAAGGAAAUUUGGUUUGAGCUUAUGAGAGGAAGUUGAAUUGAGUUUUCUUGUUUAAAGUUUAUUUUUCUUUAUUCGUGUUUGGAGUUUGAUGCUUUGUAAAAAAAGAUGUGUCAAGUUAAAUUUAAUUUUCUUAUAUAUAAUAAAAUAAAGUUUUAGUCACAAUAUAUAAUAACGCAUUAUUUUGGUGUCCAAAGUCGAUACCAUAAGCUAUAAAAUUCUUGGCAACAAAAUUACACAUACAGUGUAUGGGCUUAAGAACCACAGAAGUUUUGGAUAUGUAAACAUUAACGAUCAACUGGUACUCAAAACUUCAGAAUUUGACAUAUCUAAUGCAUGGUAAUUGGAAAAAAAAAAAUACCGUAAAAGACGCUAUUAUACAUUACAAAAAAUAUAAAUACUGUGUACACUUAAACAGUUAUUUACUUUCAUCUAUCUGUAAAUAAAUAAGUCAAAUUUUUGAUAUUUAGGGGGUGUAAUUGGUUCCUAAUUUAUAAGGAAUUUUGAUGACUUCAAUCAAAUACUAGAAAGUAAAAAAAUGAAAGAUUUUAAACGAUUGUUAGAGACUUUUUUAUAAUCUUGUUGAUUAGUUUUUCAUAAUUUUGUAAAGUUUUUCAAACAAUCUCUCUAUUUUGAUAAUACUUUUCAAUGAUUUUUCAUGACUUCAUUUUAAGAAGAAAAAUGUAGAAAGUCAUGAACCAAUAACAUAAUAAUUUAAAUUAUUAACAAUCAAAGAUUCUUUUGUUUUAAUUGAAUAACACAAAACUUUUAAUGACUUUAUAAGUGUAUAAAUCUAAUAACCCAAAAUUUAUGAAGAUUUUAAAUUAUUUUUUACAAAUCUUAAAUGAAUAACACAAAAUUUUAACAUACUUUUAAAAAGUCUUGAUUAAAUAACAACAAAUUUUACAUAACAGUUUAAAUCACUUAAAUUCUUUUGAAAUCAUAAACGAAUAACACCCCUUUAUUAGACAUUAGUCAUGAUAAUUUGGGAAAAUAAUAAUUAUAGUAAAUAAUGUUAUUAUCUUUCCUAAACAAGUAUUGCGCAGUCAAACAAUAACUCUUCAUCAUAAAUAAAUAAGUCAAAUUUUCGAUAUUUAUUGAACAUUGCUAUCUUACCUAAAAUUAUUGAUAUGGCAAUUUAAAUAUGUUUUGAGACAUGCCUAUAAAACUAUGACUCAUUUUGUUAUUCUAUGCAUCAUUUAUAUUUACUACAUUUUCUUACAUUGGAGCAAGGUAUUGCAUGAUCUCACCAUCUUGAUCUAACGUUUAAAAUGAAGUUUUUUUUAUUUGUCAUUAACUUAUAAUAGUUUUUCAUAUAUACCACUCAUGUUUUAUUACAUCCAUUUUAUACACUUUUCAUUGCUACAUAAAAAACAAAAAAUGAUUUUAUAAAUAUUCGACUAUGAGAUCUUUCGUGAGAAUUUGUUCUCUUAUGUUACAUUGAUAUGAUAUUGUUAUGUUUGUACGAUUUCUAUAAGAACUUCUAAUCGCUUAAGUUAGGAAGAUUUAUUGAAUAUUUAAAUUAUAUAUAUAUCUAUGUAGUUUUACGUAGAUUUUUUACUCAUCACAAGCAAUGGUGAAAAUAUAAAUUUUAGUGGUAUUAUUUAUGAUAUAUAAUUUAAAUAUGUAGAAAUUUUUAUAUAUCUUGAAGAUAUUUUUCUUAAUUUUGUUAAUAUAAAUCAAAUAUGCAUAUAUUUAAAAGUGUAUUGAUAAUUUUUUUUUCUCAUACAAUUUUUUUAUUUAGGGGUUAAGAGAGAAAAUAAAACAAAGAAGAAUGGCUUCCAACCGUUGUGCUGUCUGCAAAAUUUUGAAUGAAACUUGUGCUCCAAUGUGCAUUUAUGCACCACAUUUUCCAUCAAACGAUGCAAGUUUCAAAGUUAUUAUUCAGAUUUUUGGAGCCGUGAAUGUUUGCAAUAUCCUUGAUAAUCUUGAAUUUCCAGAACAACGAGAGAUUGCUGCCAACUGUUUACGUUAUGCUGCUGAGGCUCGUAUACGUAAUCCUAUUUCUGGUUGUCAUGACAUGAUUCUACAAUACAAGAAUAUUCUCAAUAAUGUUGAACAAGAUAUUGAAUCCGCGGUGAAUGAGCUUGGAACCUAUGUGGGACACGAUCAAGUACCAAAAUUUUAUGAUCUUCCAAUGCCAGAUGAUUUCCUCAUGACACCAGUCUCUUUAGAUUCUUUUAUUGCAAAAAUUAAGAGUUUAAACGAAGUUCAAAAGAAUCAACUUAUGCAACUCCCAACUGCUGCUGAUAAUGCACCAAUGAUAAUGAAUAGCAUAUUUGGGAAGAUGGAAGAUAAAAACCUGAAAGAUGGGCAUAGAGCUGAUGGUGCAUCAACAUCUGCUGGUAAGUGAUAUUGAAGAGAUACUUCCAUUUUCUGAAAAUCAAAACCAAAAAUAAUUUUAAUUAUGUCUUUUCCGUGAAUUUCUUUUAAACUCGAGUCUCCAUAAUAAUUCUGUGUUUCUCUUCUCUGUUUUUCCUUUUUAUAAUUCUACAGUUUGUAAUGUCUUAAGUUUAAUAUAUCACAAAGUUUUUAAGAAAAAAAAAACAUAAUUUGACCAGUUUAUAAAGAUUUAUUAACAGCAUUUCCAUAUUUAAUUUCCAUAGUUUUUUGCAAAUAGUAAUCUAUAUUAUAGGAUUUGAAGAUGUUUGUAUAUUCUUGAUUGGUAACUCCGAAAUAAUUCUAAAGUUUGUAACACUUAAAAACAUCAUGUUUUUCUACUGUUUAAAAAUUGGAUAUGAGAAGAAAUACAAUUCUCCGACAGUCCGACGAGGAGUGCUCUGUCGUCCAUACACAAAAAGCUUUUGGCUCAUUUUUUAUUUUUAUUUUUUCUUUUCUCUUUAGACAAUAUUUGAAUGGGACUUCAACACUGGGGGCGACUUGGUCAAUAUUGGCGUUGUAUUUCCUAUCAAAUUAUAUAUGUUAUUAUCAUUCGUUUUCUCCAAUAAUUCUAUCAGAGAUUAUCAUAUAAAUUAUACUAUUACUUAUUAGUACAAUGAAAAUUAAGAGUAUUUAUUAUAUUCAACAACUCCUUCUUUACGAAUUACGACCCAGUAGAAUUUGUCAAUAAUUAUAUUUUUUAUAUAUAUAUUUCACUUAUGAACUUUGAGAGUUAUCGUCAUUCAAAGUUAUAAUUUCAUUUGGUUUUAGUUUCAUAUCUCUUUCAUGUUAACUUCUUUUGUCUGCACUAAAACAUAUAUAUAUUUUUUUUAUUGUCCGCGUGGUCUUUGAUAUAUAUAGUAAUCAUUUUCAAAGCCGUCAAAUUUUUCACUUUUGAUUUUGAAUAUAGAGGAACCUGUUGACCCAAAAAAACAGAUUAUGAAGGAACUUAGGAAAUUUCAUACAAGUUGAUCUUAAAAAUUAAGCAAGAAAAAAGAAUAAAUUAAUGCAGUCAUUCCUUAAGCCUACAAUAUAAAUGUUCACACUCCCUUGUUCUAUCUCCAACACAACACAACACAACACAAAAAAUCCAACCCAAGAACCACAGUGAGAUCUUUCUCAGAAGACAAAAAUGGGAACAGCGUCGUCUAAGUCUAACAUCAACCUCUCGCAGGUCCUCAACACUGAGGAGCCGUACAGCUCCGUGAUGCUGGCCGUCGCUGCUCUCUUGGCCGUUGUAUGCUACUUAUGGAUUCAGGGGAAGUCCAAGUCCAAAAAGGAACCUCCACUGCCUCCGGGACCUUGGCCACUUCCUAUCGUCGGAAACCUCCCGUUCCUAAACUCUGACGUCCUCCACACGCAAUUCCAAGCCCUAACCCUAAAAUAUGGCCCUCUCAUGAAGAUCCACCUCGGUUCCAAACUUGCGAUCGUCGUCUCUUCCCCUGACAUGGCUCGCGAGGUUCUCAAAACCCACGACAUCACUUUCGCCAACCACGAUCUCCCUGAAGUCGGAAAGAUCAACACUUACGGUGGUGAAGACAUCCUCUGGUCUCCUUACGGUACCCAUUGGAGGAGACUUCGUAAGCUCUGCGUCAUGAAGAUGUUCACUACCCCAAGUCUCGAAGCUUCCUACUCCACUCGCCGGGAAGAAACCCGACAAACCAUUGUCCACAUGUCGGAAAUGGCUCGUGAAGGAUCACCAGUCAACCUCGGAGAGCAAAUAUUUCUUUCCAUUUUCAACGUCGUGACAAGAAUGAUGUGGGGCGCCACUGUUGAAGGAGACGAGAGAACGAGCUUAGGAAACGAGCUCAAAACCCUAAUAUCUGAUAUCUCCGACAUAGAAGGGAUUCAAAACUACUCAGAUUUCUUUCCGUUGUUCUCAAGAUUCGAUUUCCAAGGAUUGGUUAAGCAGAUGAAAGGCCAUGUGAAGAAGCUUGAUCUCUUGUUCGAUAGAGUUAUGGAGAGUCACGUCAAAAUGGUGGGAAAGAAGAGCGAAGAAGAAGAAGAUUUCUUGCAAUACUUACUUAGAGUUAAAGAUGAUGAUGAGAAAGCUCCUCUGUCCAUGACUCAUGUCAAGUCUCUCCUCAUGGAUAUGGUUCUUGGUGGUGUCGACACAUCGGUUAACGCAUCCGAAUUCGCCAUGGCAGAGAUUGUGAGCAGACCGGAAGUGUUAAACAAGAUCCGACUAGAACUUGACCAAGUUGUUGGCAAAGACAACAUCGUUGAGGAAUCACAUUUACCUAAGCUUCCUUACCUACAAGCGGUUAUGAAAGAGACUCUUAGGCUUCACCCUACGCUUCCUCUUCUUGUUCCUCACAGAAACAGCGAAACCUCGGUGGUUGCGGGAUACACUGUGCCUAAAGACUCCAAGAUUUUCAUCAACGUUUGGGCGAUUCAUAGAGAUCCUAAGAAUUGGGAUGAACCAAACGAGUUCAAACCUGAGAGGUUUUUGGAGAAUUCGCUUGAUUUCAAUGGAGGUGAUUUUAAGUAUUUGCCUUUUGGGUCAGGAAGGAGGAUUUGUGCGGCGAUAAACAUGGC